rnacentral:rRNA from 1 species
GACGAACGCUGGCGGCGUGCUUAACACAUGCAGGUCGAACGGAAAGGCCCUGCUUUUGUGGGGUGCUCGAGUGGCGAACGGGUGAGUAACACGUGAGUAACCUGCCCUUGACUUUGGAAUAACUUCAGGAAACUGGGGCUAAUACCGGAUAGGAGCUCCUGCUGCAUGGUGGGGGUUGGAAAGUUUCGGCGGUUGGGGAUGGACUCGCGGCUUAUCAGCUUGUUGGUGGGGUAGUGGCUUACCAAGGCUUUGACGGGUAGCCGGCCUGAGAGGGUGACCGGCCACAUUGGGACUGAGAUACGGCCCAGACUCCUACGGGAGGCAGCAGUGGGGAAUAUUGCACAAUGGGCGGAAGCCUGAUGCAGCAACGCCGCGUGCGGGAUGACGGCCUUCGGGUUGUAAACCGCUUUCGCCUGUGACGAAGCGUGAGUGACGGUAAUGGGUAAAGAAGCACCGGCUAACUACGUG